rnacentral:rRNA from 1 species
GACGAACGCUGGCGGUGUGCUUAACACAUGCAAGUCGAACGGUAAGGCCCUUUCGGGGGUACACGAGUGGCGAACGGGUGAGUAACACGUGAGUAACCUGCCCUCAUCUCUGGGAUAACAGUCGGAAACGGUUGCUAAUACUGGAUAUGAGCCUGCAAGGCAUCUUGUGGGUUGGAAAGAUUUUUUGGUUGGGGAUGGACUCGCGGCCGAUCAGCUUGUUGGUGAGGUAGUGGCUCACCAAGGCUUCGACGGGUAGCCGGCCUGAGAGGGCGACCGGCCACAUUGGGACUGAGAUACGGCCCAAACUCCUACGGGAGGCAGCAGUGGGGAAUAUUGCACAAUGGACGGAAGUCUGAUGCAGCAACGCCGCGUGCGGGAUGACGGCCUUCGGGUUGUAAACCGCUUUCAAUUGUGACGAAGCUUUUGUGACGGUAGCAGUAGAAGAAGCACCGGCUAACUACGUG